AACGAACAGCAGAAGUCUUAGAGGCAACUUGUGAAUGAAGGAGGCCUCUCUAUUUCCAUCCAGUACAUUCUCUGCACUGGUUGAAGAAGGGUUCCCAAACAACAACAUGUAUGAGUACCUAAUUAAUAAGCAUAUCAGAAUGCAACUGCAUAAAGGCAGAAAGGUGAAAAUCAGUGCAUAACAGUCUUAACUACUAUAUUUCCUAAAUAUCCAUUAGGUUGACUUCACAGUGUUAAUAUUCUGUUACAGAAGCUUUCAGGAGGUAGGAUGCAAACUGAAAAAAACAGCUGAUCUAUCCAACUGUACCUCAGCAGCACUAGGGCAUCAAGAACUACAGCAUAAUUCCUUGAACCAUGUAAUUGGGGAGUGACUGGUGACCCUUUUUCUGUAUGCUUGUGUUGUCUCACUGGAGCAGGUACAGAGGUCUGCUGUGGGAGGGGAGUUCAGAAAUAUGUGCAAAGUAAAGGAGCUGAGUAAACCCCAGAGCCCCAUAUUUCAUGCCAGAAUUGGCAGCUGAGCUGUAGGUGUAAGGUUUGUUGUCAGGGUAUUGCAUGGGCUGCAGGGCGCCACAGCCAGGGCCCAACCCACUGCCCCAGCCAGGAGCCAGGCAGCUGAGGGCACUGGGGAAACUCUAGGCCCAGGCAUCGGGCCUCCCUCUGGGAACAGGGCCGGAACGGGGCCAGACCAAGGCCAGGCUGGGACAUGGGCCUGUGGGGCUGUGUAGAGCUGGAGACCGGCCUUGCCAUGGUGUCACAGGGGACCCUGUAAGCAAUGUCAGAGGAAAACCCUGUUGGACUUGGGAGACCAAGAGCACUGAUGAUGCAUACUCAUUAGCUGUUGACACCUGACUUGAGUCUCUAAGGCUCACUUUGCUGAAGUGGUAAGUGCUCACAACUGCUCCUGAAGAUGAAGGGAGCUCCUCUUUGGAGGUACAAGCUGCAAUGAAUGUUUCUUUCCUUAGGAAACAUGGAAAACUUCAGCUGGAUUAUUCUUAUAUGCAGCAGCUGUCCAUACAUUUUUCUUAAAAUCAAAUAUGUGAGAACCAAAAUAUUUUAGUUUAGAUAGUCAGACACAAUAUCUUAAUGGAUCUGUAUUUAGUGUUUUUUUUUUCUUAAUGUGUCUUCAUGGGCUGAAAUCGGCAGACGGGCUAUGUGUUCUUCAACACUGUAA